rnacentral:rRNA from 1 species
AGGAUGAACGCUAGCGGGAGGCCUAAUACAUGCAAGUCGAACGGCAACAUGAUGAUAGCAAUAUUAUCGAUGGCGAGUGGCGCACGGGUGAGUAACACGUACAUAACCUACCCUUUACAGGGGGAUAGCCUUGGGAAACUAGGAGUAAACCCCCAUAGAGUACAUUGGACGCAUGUUUGAUGUAAUAAAUUCUUCGGGAGUAAAGGAUGGAUGUGCGGCUGAUUAGCUAGUUGGUGAGGUAACGGCUCACCAAGGCAAUGAUCGAGGUAGGGGGUGUGAGAGCAGUGACUCCCCCCAGACGGGUACUGACGACGACGGACCCGAUCCGUACGGGAGACAGCAAGUAAGGAAUAGUUGGACAAGUGGGCGGAGACG